rnacentral:rRNA from 1 species
GAAUUCCAGUUGAUCCUGCUGGAGAUCACUGCUAGAUGGAUUCGAUUUAGACAUGCAAGUUUAUGUUUUCGGACAUGGCGAAAGGCUCAGUAACACGUCAAUAAUCUACCCUGAAGUAAGGCAUAAAAUCGGGAAACUGAUUGUAAUUCCUUAUAGAAGAUAGAUGCUGGAAGGCGCUUUCUUUGAAAGUUUCGGCGCUUCAGGAUGAGUUGGCGGCAGAUUAGCUUGUUGGUGGUGUAAAGGACCACCAAGGCGAAGAUCUGUAAGGGGGAUGAGAGUCCUAGCCCUGAGAGGAACACUGAGAUAAGGGUUCCAGCCCUACGGGGUGCAGCAGUUACGAAACCUCUACAAUGCACGCAAGUGUGAUAGGGGGAUCCAUCGUGCAAUCCAUUCGGAUUGCUUUUCUGGAGUGUAAGUAGCUUCAGGAAUAAGGGGUGGGCAAGACCGGUGCCAGCCGCCGCGGUAAUCCCGGCGCCCCAAGUGGUGAUCACGUUUAUUGGGCCUAAAGCAUCCGUAGCCGGAUUGGUAAGUCUUUGGUUAAAUCUGGCAGCUUAACUGUCAGCCUGCUGGAGAUACUGCCUUUCUUGAGACCGGGAGGAGCUAGAGGUAUUCCUUGGGGAGC